CUCUGUCUUGCAGGCCCUGCGGAAAGAUGUCAGCGUUCCACCAGAUUGGAGCCGCAGCCGAGAAAGCCCUGGCUCUAGUUGAGGCCAGCCUAACCUCUCUGUGGCCUGGGACCUUCAGGAUGUUUUUAUUUGCAGACCGUAGGUUCCUCUGUGGGGCAUACCA